GUCUACAUUCAUGCUGUCCUGAACCCACCAGCUCUUGUGGGAUCUCCGAAGCUGAGUAGGGUUGGGCCCUGGUUAGUAGUCCCAUGGGAGAGACAGGCUCGAGGCUUUUGCAUACU
rnacentral:rRNA from 1 species